rnacentral:lncRNA from 1 species
CUUCCGCCGCACCGAGCGCGAUCCCAAACCGAGUCGGCCAGUCAAGACCAUACGACUUCCCUCCGUGCAGAAUCUCACCUAAGCUUCCUCGAGACAUGUACUCGUAAAGCAAGAGAUUGGAGUUCGAGCCCUGGUGGUAACAGAAACUGUACAGCCUCACAAUGUUCCUGUGCCUGAUCUUUCCUAGCGUAAGAAUCUCCGCGCGGAAACUGUUAUCCGUAUUGUUAUUAUUACCGCCUUCUCUAUUCGAUCCUAACUUUUUAACCGCGAUGGUUUUACCCGAGGGCAUAACCGCUUUGUACACCGUCCCGCACGCUCCUUUACCUAUAAUGUAGCUUUCGUGGAACCCUUUCGUCGCUUCUAGUAUGUCUUUAACAGUGAACCGUUCUUUCGGGACGAAGUAGAUGUCAGAUUCUUCGAAAAACGGUUCCUUGUCGCGCACGUAAGGAGGCUUUGUAGCCUCCACAGGGUGUUGUCUAAGGAAAUGAACAACGAUAGCUAUGAGGAAAAGAGAUAUGCCACCGACGAUGGAAGACAAGAUGACAAUGAUCCUCCGGCGACGCGCCGAGCCUGAUCUAAGAGGCGAAAGGUUACUCCAAGAAGAGAGGUUAGAGUCGCAGCUUCUCAGAUGCCCGCCGCAGAGUCCUUUAUCUCCGAGGAAGCUAGUUAGAGUCAUGUUUUGAAAGAGCGGCGCGGGCGGAAGCGGUCCGGUCAAGUUGUUGUAGGAGAAGUUGCAGCCUAGUAAGCUCGAUAAGUUCUCGAAAGUAGUCGGUAUCUCGCCGCUCAAGUGGUUGUUGUUGAGAGAAAGGUACAUAAGUAGAUAAAGAUUCCCGAGCUCAGGCGGUAUCUGACCGCUGAAGUCAUUGUAGCUCAAGUUCAUCGCGAUUUGGAGACUUGAUAGUGAGCCUAGCUGAGGCGGUAUGCUUCCCGAAAACAAGUUUCCACCCAUCUGGAGCUCCGUUAGAUGCGUGAGGUUCCCGAUGGUGAACGGUAUGUUGCCGGAUAAUCUAUUGUCGUUGAGUCUGAGGAUCUCUAGCUGAUGUAAGCUUCCUAGCUCGCAAGGUAAAUGACCGAUGAAACUGUUCCGGCUCAGGUCGAGUCGCUGAAGCAUCUUGCAGUUGGAGAUCUCCGAAGGGAUAGGUCCGGUUAGAGAGUUUGAGGAGACGUUGAACGUGACUAAGUUGGAGAGUUUGCAUUUUGAGGUUAAGUCCGGUUAACUAAGAAUCUAAAUAUCUAAACCGUAAGAGCAUACUUGUUUGAAAUUACCGGUUAUCCCAGAAUCUAAUUGUCUAAACCGUAAGAUCAUUAACGUUUUGAGAUUAACAUCCGUUAAUUCAGAAUCUAAAUGUCUAAACCGCAACAACAUAGCCCCGGUUAACUCAGAAUCUAAAUGUCUAAACCGUAAAAAAAUACCGGUUUUGAGAUUAAACCCGGUUAACUAAUUCUCUAAACCGUAAAACCAAACCGGUUUUGAGAUUAGCCACGGUCAAUUCAGAAUCUAAAUCUCUAAAGCGUAGGAACAAGCCGGUUUUGAGAUUAGUUAACUCAGAAUAUAAAUUUCUAAACGGUAGGAACAUACCGGGAGCAAUGUAACCAUAUGAACCAGCGACGGCUGAGACAGAUUUGGACACUGGCAUGUCAAUGACCUUAGCCAAACCAAAAUCUCCAACAUGAGCUUCAAAGUUCUCAUCAAGCAAAAUGUUAUUAGACUUGAUGUCUCGAUGAAUGAUCCUCGGUUUACAAUCAUGAUGCAAGUAAGCAAGCCCUUCCGCCGCACCGAGCGCGAUCCCAAACCGAGUCGGCCAGUCAAGACCAUACGACUUCCCUCCGUGCAGAAUCUCACCUAAGCUUCCUCGAGACAUGUACUCGUAAAGCAAGAGAUUGGAGUUCGAGCCCUGGUGGUAACAGAAACUGUACAGCCUCACAAUGUUCCUGUGCCUGAUCUUUCCUAGCGUAAGAAUCUCCGCGCGGAAACUGUUAUCCGUAUUGUUAUUAUUACCGCCUUCUCUAUUCGAUCCUAACUUUUUAACCGCGAUGGUUUUACCCGAGGGCAUAACCGCUUUGUACACCGUCCCGCACGCUCCUUUACCUAUAAUGUAGCUUUCGUGGAACCCUUUCGUCGCUUCUAGUAUGUCUUUAACAGUGAACCGUUCUUUCGGGACGAAGUAGAUGUCAGAUUCUUCGAAAAACGGUUCCUUGUCGCGCACGUAAGGAGGCUUUGUAGCCUCCACAGGGUGUUGUCUAAGGAAAUGAACAACGAUAGCUAUGAGGAAAAGAGAUAUGCCACCGACGAUGGAAGACAAGAUGACAAUGAUCCUCCGGCGACGCGCCGAGCCUGAUCUAAGAGGCGAAAGGUUACUCCAAGAAGAGAGGUUAGAGUCGCAGCUUCUCAGAUGCCCGCCGCAGAGUCCUUUAUCUCCGAGGAAGCUAGUUAGAGUCAUGUUUUGAAAGAGCGGCGCGGGCGGAAGCGGUCCGGUCAAGUUGU